rnacentral:lncRNA from 1 species
CGAAGCUACUGCUUGUCUCAGGAGGCUACAGAGGGGUCAAAGUCUUCUGUGUGGUAGAGGAAGGCAUUUUGGUCAAAGGUGUAAUGAGUCAGAUAGAAGAUCUGGGACCGUAGCCAGUGAUGAUGACUGCCUGGAAGCGGAUGGCUUCCUAAAAUCAGAACUGGUUUUGAGAGGAAUGGAAGUGAAACUGAAAGGAGCCAGCAAAGGGAAGAGCAAGGAAGAAGCUCCAGAUCAAUGGAAAAAUGAGAAAAAAAAACAAACUAGAGACAUCUCAGCUCUCCUGACUACCCUUCCCAGAGAGAAUGAAACACAGCUAAGUAGAAUAAGUGCUGAAAAGGAAGCUAUGACUCAUCCCAUUCAGACUUUACAGGUAAAGAAACAGGAUCAAGGGAGUCAUGGGACU